AGGGAGAUCUGAUAGAUCAUCUGAGAGAUUCAGAUGCUAUUAGAGAUCACCUUGGCCACUGCUAAGCUGUGCAGCAUUCCUGCCAAGUGCAUCCCUGAGUUGGAAGCAUGUGGCAAGCAAGGCUGUGCCUGUGACACUGGGAGCUCGGAACAGUGGCUGCAGAGUUUCUGCUCGCUCUCCAGUGACUAAGGAGGAGAGGAAAACCCAGAGUGCAUGAGAAGACCAAACCCAGGAACUGAGCAUCCACAAAGUGACCCCACAGUGGACAACAAGAAGCUUCAGUGACCCUGAAUGAAGCUGCUGACAUUUCUUUUGAGCACCAUUGCAGAGCAAAUCUACCAAGUCACCUCAGCCUUCUCUGGGGGAAUCUGAACCACUUGAAUUUCUACUCAAGCACAUGAUUUGCUUCUGAUUAGAGACAUGCCUAGGAAAAAACAUAAAUAAAGCAAGCA